UAGUACGGCGAGUGAGAGGGAAGAGCCCAAGAUUGAAAGCUGGCGUCUUCGGCGUCCGCAUUGUAAUCUCAAGAAGUGUUUUCCGCUUCGGACCAUGCCUAAGUCCCUUGGAAAAGGGCAUCAUAGAGGGUGAUAAUCCCGUACAUGGCAUGGAGCGCCCGAAGCUUUGUGAUACGCUUUCUAAGAGUCGAGUUGUUUGGGAAUGCAGCUCAAAAUGGGUGGUAAAUGCCAUCUAAGGCUAAAUAUUGGGGAGAGACCGAUAGCGAACAAGUACAGUGAUGGAAAGAUGAAAAGAACUUUGAAAAGAGAGUUAAACAGUACGUGAAAUUGCCAAAAGGGAAGGGUAGGAGGUCAGAGAUGCGGCCUGGGAUUCAGCCUUGCUUUUGCUUGGUGUUUUUCCCAGAUUGCAGGCCAACGUCGGUUUUGGGCACUGGAGAAGGGUAGGAGGAACGUGGCACCCCUCGGGGUGUGUUAUAGCCUCCUACUGGAUACAGCGACCGAGACCGAGGACAGCAGCGUACUCGCAAGAGCGGGCCUUCGGGCACCUUUACGCUUAGGGCGUUGGCAUAAUGGCCCUCUACCACCCGUCUUGAA
rnacentral:rRNA from 1 species